GGCGUAGCUCAGUUGGUAGAGCUCCGGGUUGUGAUCCCGGCGGUCGUGGGUUCAAACCCCAUCGUC
rnacentral:tRNA from 1 species